GACGUAGGGCGCGAGCGUUGUCCGGAUUUAUUGGGCGUAAGGAGCUCGUAGGCGGCUUGUCGCGUCGACUGUGAAAUCCCGGGGCUUAACCCCGGGCGUGCAGUGGAUACGGGCUGGCUGGAGGCAGGCAGGGGAGAAUGGAAUUCCCGGUGUAGCGGUGAAAUGCGCAGAUAUCGGGAGGAACACCGGUGGCGAAGGCGGUUCUCUGGGCCUGUUCUGACGCUGAGGAGCGAAAGCGUGGGGAGCGAACAGG
rnacentral:rRNA from 1 species